rnacentral:piRNA from 1 species
UAUUGAAGAAAGAGGGACACAUAUUUUGGC